UACGUAGGCAGCAAGCGUUGUUCGGAGUUACUGGGCGUAAAGGGUGUGUAGGCGGUCCUCUAAGUUUGGUGUGAAAUCUCCCGGCUCAACUGGGAGGGUGCGCCCGAAAACUGGGGGGCUAGAGUGCGGGAUGGGAAAGUGGAAUUCCUGGUGUAGCGGUGAAAUGCGUAGAUAUCAGGAGGAACACCUGUGGUGUAGACAGCUUACUGGACCAUUUCUGACGCUGAGACACGAAAGCGUGGGUAGCAAACAGG
rnacentral:rRNA from 1 species